UACGUAGGGGGCAAGCGUUGUUCGGAAUUACUGGGCGUAAAGGGCGCGUAGGCGGCACAGCAAGUCGGGAGUGAAAGCCCGGGGCUCAACCCCGGAAUGUCUUUCGAAACUGCUGAGCUAGAGUGCGGAAGAGGCAACUGGAAUUCCCAGUGUAGCGGUGAAAUGCGUAGAUAUUGGGAAGAACACCUGAGGCGAAGGCGGGUUGCUGGGCCGACACUGACGCUGAGGCGCGAAAGCCAGGGGAGCAAACGGG
rnacentral:rRNA from 1 species